UACGUAGGGUGCAAGCGUUAAUCGGAAUUACUGGGCGUAAAGCGUGCGCAGGCGGUUUUGUAAGUCUGACGUGAAAUCCCCGGGCUCAACCUGGGAAUUGCGUUGGAGACUGCAAGGCUGGAGUCUGGCAGAGGGGGGUAGAAUUCCACGUGUAGCAGUGAAAUGCGUAGAGAUGCGGAGGAACACCGAUGGCGAAGGCAGCCCCCUGGGCUAGCACUGACGCUCAGGCACGAAAGCGUGGGGAGCAAACAGG
rnacentral:rRNA from 1 species